GACGAACGCUGGCGGCGUGCCUAACACAUGCAAGUCGAGCGGGGUUGAGGCGAGAGGUAACUCGAACUUCUACCUAGCGGCGGACGGGUGAGUAACGCGUGGGCAACCUGCCUCAAGGUUUGGGAUAACAGCCCGAAAGGGCUGCUAAUACCGGAUAUGCCUAUGGCCUCGCAUGGGGCUAUGAGCAAAGGGGAAACCCGCCUUGAGAUGGGCCCGCGUCCCAUCAGCUAGUUGGUGAGGUAACAGCUCACCAAGGCGACGACGGGUAGCCGGCCUGAGGAGGGUGACCGGCCACACUGGGACUGAGACACGGCCCAGACUCCUACGGGGGGCAGCAGUGGGGGAUCUUGCACAAUGGGCGAAAGCCUGAUGCAGCGACGCCGCGUGAGCGAAGAAGGCCUUCGGGUUGUAAAGCUCUGUCUGGAGGGACGAACAAAAUGACGGUACCUCCGGAGGAAGCCACGGCUAACUACGUG
rnacentral:rRNA from 1 species